rnacentral:tRNA from 1 species
GCAUCCGUAGCUCAGCUGGAUAGAGUACUCGGCUACGAACCGAGCGGUCGGAGGUUAGAGUACUCGGCUACGAACCGAGCGGUCGGAGGUUCGAAUCCUCCCGGAUGCACCA